GGGACAGAAGCAACGAAAUGAAGCGUAGUGUGGAGUUAGGGCGACCAUGGUACUCUCUGACAGCUAGCCUACUGCAGAGAAGGCUGCUGUAGUGGCUAUUCCUGGUUGUCAACUUGACAAUAUUUGGAAUGAACUACAAUCCGGAAUUGGAAGGCUCACCAGUGACCCUUAUCUGGAGGCUUGGAGAUCCUUAUCUGGAUCUUGGUUUGAAGAUCUUGAGACAUAGUGGCUAUGGAUUCCAGAAGAUAGAAUCUCCGAGUUUAAGGAACACACCUUUAAUCUGGGCUAUGCCUUUCAUCUGGGAUUAAAGGUGUGGUGGAACACACCUUUAAUCUGGGCUAUGCCUUUCAUCUUGGAUUAAAGGUGUGGUGGAACACACCUUUAAUCUGGGCUAUGCCUUUCAUCUGGGAUUAAAGGUGUGGUGGAACACACCUUUAAUCUGGGCUACACCUUCUGCUGGAGACAAUAUAAGGACAUUGGAAGAAGGGAGUCUAGCUCUUGCUCCUUAGCCUGCUUGCUGCGUGAGAGUAACUGCUAGAUCCUUGGAGAUCCUGACUCCCCGCGGGACUUCCAAGGCAGCAUAACUUCGGGUCCAGACUGGGCUGUCAGGCGUUUCCAGGAAGGAUCCAGGAACCCCUUAACUAAUCCAGGCAGUGACCUGGGAGAACUCGGGAGAACCCGUGGCAGCCCUCAGCAUCCAGGUGCGUUCUGCUCUUGGGCUCUGCAACUAGAUUCCUGAUUCUUGGGGUCAGCUUUUGUCUGCUGUACCCUAGACUCCCCAGGUUCUCUCUUUGCUAAGUAAUCUUGUCCAGAGACUGGAGCAUGGCUCCGGAUCCUGGCUCGGACCCUGGAGUGGAGGUGGAUAAGAGGGAGGAAGGGGAGGGGAGGGGAGGGCAGUGAGGGCUUAUACACACAACUCUUUUUCUGAAACAGACUUUGGGGACAGUGUCCAGUGCCUAUUCCCGAGGUUGGACCUUGCAAGUGUCCACGGUGGGCGGUGCCGCUAUCAUCUUCCAACACUUGCCUAAUUAUGGAGCUAUUGGGAAAGAGAAACUGGUGAACCUGAUUCCUGAUUUCCGGGUAGGCCUUCAGAUGUGUUUUGCUGAAUAUCACUUUCAGAAGAUCCCGGCUAAACUUCUUCUGUACAUUGCUGAGGAUGUCGUACACGACUCUCUCCAGUGGGACCAGGGCUUCAGAGUUGCCUGAAGUUCCAGGACCAACUUGAAGAUAGAGAAGCAAACAGGAUUCCCCGAGUUCUGUCCUCACAUGACCCAACUGCCUCUGGCUCUGGGAUUUGGAGUAAGUAGGCUUUGGAAGGCAGCCCAGCUUAGGUGUGUCUACUUGCAUCCUAGUAUCUGUUGUUACAUUACACAAGUGACCCUGGGAUGCUCUGCACUUCGGAGCAUUCCUGCUUGCUAUUCGUCGCUGUCACCAUGUGCCUCAGCCUCAGUUACUGCAGAGGUGAAUGUAAAUGGUUCCUGUGAUGUCUAUCCCUCCAGUUAUCUUCUGACUUACAAAGGUGAUGUCCCUUCAUCCCUGGAGGUGCUUCAGCCUGUUGGCUGCACCCAGAAGUACAGCAUGAUACAGCACAGGGCAGGCUUGCUGUCAGGACUGAGUUCAUUCUCCACACUCACCUGAAACUUCUGCUCCGAGAUGAAGUCUCGGUCUCGAAGGCUCAUGAGGAAAGGAAACGGCUUGGUGAUGGCACUUGCGAUCUCCACCUUGUUUUCUUUGAAGUGCUUGAACAUGAGCUGAUAGUCAUCUGACUCCUCUUCAUUCUGGUCCUCUGGGAUUGUCCUAGGGGACAGAUUUCCAUGCAGAAGUAGAUACUGGUUUACAAGAUGCUACCAAUGGCUGGAUAAUUACUGACAUGAAGACUGGUCUGCUAAUAUAAAAUUAAAAUUUUAAACAUCUCAUUUAGUGAUCAAGUUCUGGUGCUUUGAGUUUGAUUUGCUCGGGAUAGGGUUAUCAUCUGUAAGUCUGGCUUGCCUAAAAGUUACUAUGUAGACAAGGCUAUCCUCACACAUAAAUUUCACCUGCCUCUGCUGCCUGAGUGCUCAGAUUUAAAUUAUGUUCCAUCAUGUCCAGUACUGUGAUUAGUUUUAAUUGUCAACCUGACACAAUCUAUAAUCAUCUUGGAUUGUAUGAGUCUUAAUAAAGGAUUGUCUAGAUUA
rnacentral:lncRNA from 1 species